GGCGGUUUGACGGUUGGGUUUGCUUUGGAGUUAAUGAUGUCGUGCUGUCUUAGAGUUGGGCUCGGUGAGGACAGAAUGUCAAGGGAGUGUGAUGAUGAUGAUGAAGUCUUUUGUUGGGAAGUAUUUUUUUGCAUCAGUGUGAUUGACAAUAAGGGGGUGCUUGUGUCCCUCUCUCAAGACUGGCUGCACAGUGUGGAUACAGCUUAACUGUUGUCGUCUUGGGGAAAUGCCAAGUUUCUUGCUUCUGAGCUGCUUUGCUCAAA